GACGAACGCUGGCGGCGUGCUUAACACAUGCAAGUCGAACGCUGAAGCUCAGCUUUUGUUGGGUGGAUGAGUGGCGAACGGGUGAGUAACACGUGGGUAACCUGCCCCCUUCUUUGGGAUAACGCCCGGAAACGGGUGCUAAUACUGGAUAUUCACUGGUCUUCGCAUGGGGGUUGGUGGAAAGGGUUUUUCUGGUGGGGGAUGGGCUCGCGGCCUAUCAGCUUGUUGGUGGGGUGAUGGCCUACCAAGGCUUUGACGGGUAGCCGGCCUGAGAGGGUGACCGGUCACAUUGGGACUGAGAUACGGCCCAGACUCCUACGGGAGGCAGCAGUGGGGAAUAUUGCACAAUGGGCGCAAGCCUGAUGCAGCGACGCCGCGUGAGGGAUGGAGGCCUUCGGGUUGUGAACCUCUUUCGCUCAUGGUCAAGCCGCAACAAUGGUUGUGGUGAGGGUAGUGGGUAAAGAAGCGCCGGCUAACUACGUG
rnacentral:rRNA from 1 species